rnacentral:rRNA from 1 species
AUGAAUUUGAAACAACUUGAUCAUGAGCAUGUUGCCCAAUCUUGGGAAAGAAUGAAAUUGAUGCUUCGCAAUUGCCCUACUCAUGGUUUGAAUUUAUGGAUGAUCAUACAAAAAUUUUAUGCCGGUUUGAACUUUGCUUCUAGAAAUCUCUUAGAUUCGGCCGCGGGAGGCACAUUUAUUGAAAUCACGUUAGGAGAUGCUACAAAAUUGCUUGAUAAUAUUAUGUCUAAUUAUUCUCAAUGGCACACCGAAAGAUCUUCUAGUAAAAAAGUGCAUGCUAUAGAAGAAAUCAAUGUUUUGAGUGGAAAGAUGGAUGAACUUAUGAAGAUGUUUGCUACUAAAAAUACUCCUCUUGAUCCUAAUGAUAUGCCUUUGUCUUCCUUGAUUGAGAAUAAUAAUGAAUCUAUGGAUGUGAAUUUUGUUGGUAGGAAUAGUUUUGGAAACAACGCUUAUAGAGGAAAUUUUAAUGCUAGACAGUUCCCUAGUAAUCCCUCUAAUAAUUAUGGAAAUUCCUACAAUAAUUCUUAUGGUAAUUUUAAGAAGAUGCCCUAUGAUUUUGAGAAUAAUGUGAAAGAAUUUAUGAUUUCUCAAAAGAAUUUUAAUGCUUUGCUUGAAGAAAAAUUGCUCAAAGUUGAUGAUUUGGCUAGGAACGUUGAUAGACUUUUGCUUGAUGUUAAUUCUCUUAAACUUGGAUCUUCUUCUCCUAAGCAUGAUAUCAAUGAGUCUCUCGAAGUAAUGAGAAUUUCCAUUGACGAGUGCAAGGAAAGAACCGCUAGAUUGCGUGCUAAAAAAGAAAGCUUUAUACAAGCGUGUUCUUCUAGUUUUCAUGAAAAUAAUGAUGAGGAUCUUAAAGUUAUUGAUGCGUCUCCGAUUAGAUCUAUGUUUUGCAAUAUGAAUUUUGAUGAUUAUGGGAGUGAUGAUGAAUCCACUUUGCCUAGAAGGCGUCCCAAAAAUUUGGAGUCUUUAGAUCUUAAUGCUAAAUUUGGUAAAAGUGAGAUUGGAGAAUCUUCAACAUCUAAUAAUGUUGAACCCACUAUCUCGGAUUUCAAAGAAUUUGAUUAUGAUAAUUGUUCUUUAAAAGGGUGUAUUUCCUUGUUGCAAUCCGUUGAUGACUUGAUGCAAUCUUAUGAUAAAAACUUAAUUUGGAAGUUUCUAUACCUAGAAAACUUAAUGAUGAGUGGGAACCUACUAUAA